rnacentral:lncRNA from 1 species
GCUGGUAGGGAGAGCAUUUUGACUAUAAACAAAUUUCGGAGACGGAGCAUGAUUAUGGCAAAUGCUUGUUAUCUCUGUAACACGGCUAAGGACACUUGUAACCACAUAUUGCUCUAGCGUCUGAGUGGUAUACAAAGCUUUUAACUAUGGUUUAUGGGCUAUUAUGAACCAAGUGGGCAAUGACUGGAUUCAUUGACAUGAAAUUUGGGCGUGGAAGGAUCUCAACAGGUGGAGAAAACAAGCGGAUUUAAUUCCGCUCACCAUCUUUUGGGCACUUUGGAAGGAGAUUAAUAAAAGGGCUUUUGAAGGGGUUAAUAAUGUGAAUAAUUUUGAUUCAGUUAGGAUUAUUUUUCCAGACCCUUGGAUUUUUGUCAUUGGGUCAUCUUCUUUACUCUAUAGAGGAUUUAUGGGACCUCAUGGAUACUUCGAUAGACAUAUAAAUGUUUUAUACAUGCAUUGACAGUCCCUUGAUGCCCUUUUUAAUAGUAUUCUUUGCACUUUGUAUUUUAGGAAAAAAUAUGCAUAAUCAUGAGAUUAAUCUGCGGCACUCGAACGAUUCACGCAAAUCAGGGGUGGAGAAUGAAUUUAACAAAAAAUAUCAAACAAUCAUCAAACACAACUUAUAUAUGGGUUGUACCUGAAAUAGGAGCUGCGAGAAAGGAUCAAACGAUGGAGGUGGUAGGUGGAGCCCAUGGCGUCGAUGACAAUGUCGGAAAAUGAGCCGGAAUUGAAGCCCUCAAUCUGGAUGUGGUCACAGAGGGAGGUGAGAUUGCAAUCCAGUGCGCGCAGCUCCCCGCUGCUCCGAUCGUUGUCAGAGUGCGGCGAGGGCGCUAUCGUCGCAUUCAUCGGAUUAUGUCCGUACGGUCGGGGCUUCUGGUACUGAGGUUCCAUGUGGGCGCGACGCGUCGCCGUUGCGGAGUCCUAUAAAUUGAAAAUGCUCAUCGAAACCAUUAACGAAAGGGAGGAGAAGAACCCUCUUUGUGGAUUGGAAUUGUGAAAAGGUGGGCGGGGAACCGGCAGUAAGAUAACCCGUGAGUCUGCGUAUUAAACGGUGCGUUUUCUUUAAAUAUCCCGUUAAAACUCAGCGUACUGUAGUUCGCCGGGAUGCUCUGGGCUGUUUGCUUUCAAGUAAUAGUUAG